rnacentral:sRNA from 15 species
AUCUGCGAAUACCAGUGCCUGUAAUUGUCUGUGGACUAACACGAGAAUGGGGCUCGGCAAAAAUACACUUCUGUGUGUGAGACACUGUGGCUAGAACUGAGGUCUCUGGAAGGUAAUUUUUGUAGCUACCAAAUUUGUAGAGAGGCCAGGGCAUAUAGGUAUUUUUCAGAGGUCUGCCGAAACUUCUAGAUAGUCGUUAGUUCUUGCCUCUAUUACCCCAUUUCUCCAAGAUUUUAUCUUAUAAAAAACCACACCUGAAAGACACACAAAACACAUCGCUGCUCGACAACAGUCUCGCCGAUAAGGGUGUUGUUUAUGUUAAACUGUUGCCAAAUUUCUCCGUUGACUAUACAAAUUUAUACACAUUAUAGUUUAGGUAUCCUCUAGUCGUAUCCUCCAGCCGUUGUGAUUUGAUUUGCACUUGAACCACUUAAUCAUAUUUGUACUGGGGUCUAUCUUCAAUUGGAAACACUAGCUUCUGGCACCAGUCUACACGGUCAUGCCUAUCAUUGUGUGUUACGGAUACGGUGGUCUAGGUCUAAUCUAAAUCUGAUCGGAGGGGCCUGCUACCUGUGGCUGUGUGGCUCUUUGGCUCUUGGGUACACCCUUUGGCCCCAUCAGCCAUGACAAUUCUUACUACUAAGCUGCACUGGGAGAGAGAGAGCAUAACGUUUAAGCGGGAAAUCAUUUCCAUACUAUAAGUCCAGUAAAAUAUAUCGCCAGAGUACUACAAAUACCCAAAGCCCGAUGAACAGUUCCAGUACGAUCCACAGAUCAUUUAACACCAGAAGCCUCGCUCGCCGGGCCCGUGGACACCUCUUGGAUUAUGCCAAAAGGAUUAUCCACACCCUGUGCUUUGUAAUACUGAUUAUAAAAACGGCUAUGACAGAGGAUCGUGGGAUGGUCUUCAUUGGCUUUAGAUGUCUAUCCAUUCGUGGUUACAGCACCAUCAUCUGCACUGUCGAGUUCUGUUUUCCAUUUAUGUUUUAAUGAAUCAUAUUGGCUGCUAAAUACAACUGGAUUAACUGGAUCCCCUCGAA